rnacentral:rRNA from 1 species
UUGAACGCUGGCGGCAGGCCUAACACAUGCAAGUCGAGCGGAUGAAGGGAGCUUGCUCCUGGAUUCAGCGGCGGACGGGUGAGUAAUGCCUAGGAAUCUGCCUGGUAGUGGGGGAUAACGUCCGGAAACGGGCGCUAAUACCGCAUACGUCCUGAGGGAGAAAGUGGGGGAUCUUCGGACCUCACGCUAUCAGAUGAGCCUAGGUCGGAUUAGCUAGUUGGUGGGGUAAAGGCCUACCAAGGCGACGAUCCGUAACUGGUCUGAGAGGAUGAUCAGUCACACUGGAACUGAGACACGGUCCAGACUCCUACGGGAGGCAGCAGUGGGGAAUAUUGGACAAUGGGCGAAAGCCUGAUCCAGCCAAGCCGCGUGUGUGAAGAAGGUCUUCGGAUUGUAAAGCACUUUAAGUUGGGAGGAAGGGCAGUAAGUUAAUACCUUGCUGUUUUGACGUUACCAACAGAAUAAGCACCGGCUAACUUUGUG